UCGCGGUGGCGUACGGCAUGUGCACGGUGGCGUUCGUGCCGCGGCCGCUGCUGAACCUGGCGGCGGGCGCGCUGUUCGGCUCGCAGGCCGGGAU
rnacentral:tRNA from 1 species